rnacentral:tRNA from 1 species
GGCCCAGUGGCGCAGUUGGCUAGCGCGUCGCCCUGUCACGGCGAAGGUCGCGGGUUCGAGUCCCGUCUGGGUCG